rnacentral:rRNA from 1 species
CCUACGGGAGACAGCAGUGAGGAAUAUUGGUCAAUGGACGAGAGUCUGAACCAGCCAAGUAGCGUGAAGGAUGACUGCCCUAUGGGUUGUAAACUUCUUUUAUAUGGGAAUAAAACGUUCCACGUGUGGGAUUUUGUAUGUACCCUAUGAAUAAGGAUCGGCUAACUCCGUGCCAGCAGCCGCGGUAAUACGGAGGAUCCGAGCGUUAUCCGGAUUUAUUGGGUUUAAAGGGAGCGUAGGUGGAUUGUUAAGUCAGGUGUGAAAGUUUGCGGCUCAACCGUAAAAUUGCAGUUGAAACUGGCAGUCUUGAGUACAGUAGAGGUGGGCGGAAUUCGUGGUGUAGCGGUGAAAUGCUUAGAUAUCACGAAGAACUCCGAUUGCGAAGGCAGUUCACUGGACUGCAACUGACACUGAGGCUCGAAAGUGUGGGUAUCAAACAGGAUUAGAUACCCCUGUAGUC